GGACACACGGUUAAUAUUCCGUGACUUGGCUAUUGAUUGAUGGAGGGACGAAGUUCAGUAUACGGAGCGUGUUAUUGGAUUCGCGUUCAUGCCGUAAGGGUGCGUUCUAGGAAAAUCCGGAAUGCUGUGUUUAAUCACACACCCAAGCGGAGUGAGAAUUUCUUCCUACGGGUUGGAAAACUUCGUAAAGCGAGCUUCCAAGAAAAUCUUCUACAAUUAUCAAUAGUUGAACCGUACCGCAAACCGACACAGGUGUGCAGGUCGAGUAGACCAAGGCGAACGGGUGAGACCUCCCUAAGGAACUCGGCAAAAAAGCGGCCGUAACUUCGGGAUAAGGCCUUCCCGAACCCCGAGCGCAAGCGAAGGGUGAGGGACGCAGCGAAAGUUUCUCUGGCGACUGUUUAUCAAAAACACAGCUCCCUGCGAACUCGCAAGAGGAUGUAUAGGGGGUGACGCCUGACCAAUGCGAGAAGGUUAAAUACUGACUGUGCGUGGUCCCGCAAUUGCGGGGUUGCGUGCGGAUUGGUAUAAGCCCUCGUCAAUGUCGGCGAUAACUAUAAUCGUCCUAAGGUAGCGCAAUUCCUUGUCGGGUAAGUUCCGACGCGCACGAAAGGCGUAACGACUGGAGAACUGUCUCGGGGAGGUGCCCGGUGAAAAUGCGAUGCCGGUGAAGAUGCCGGCUACCUGCAGUUAGACGAAAAGACCCCGGAAGCUUUACUGUAGCUUGAUAUUGGGCUUAGGUCUUUAAUGCGUAGCGUAGUGGGGAGUCUACGAAGUGCCGCUUUUGGGCGGCAUGGAGACGCCAGUGAAAUACCCAUCUUUAAAGAGCUAAGUUCUAACCCCCGCGGCAAAAACGCGGAGGGACAGUAUCUGGUGGGCAGUUUUGGUGGGGCGCUAUCCUCCUAAAAAGUAACGGAGGAGUUUACAAAGGUCAGCUAAGCGCGGAUGGAAAUCGCGCUCGUCGUGUAAUGGCAUAAGCUGGCUUAACUGCGAGACGGACAUGUCGAGCAGAUGCGAAAGCAGAACAUAGUGAUCCGAUCGUGGGUAUUAGACACCGCGAAAGCUCAACGGCUAAAAGUUACUCCGGGGAUAACAGGCUGGUACCGCCCGAGCGUCCAUAGCGACGGCGGUGUUCGGCACCUCGAUGUCGGCUCGUCCUAUCCUGGGGGUGGAGAAGCUCCCAAGGGUUUGGCUGUUCGCCAAUUAAAAGGGUACGUGAGCUGGGUUCAAACCGUCAAAAAUGAACCUUAAAUAUCGAGUAAAAUCACACGGCGGCUUUCUCGCGUAAGCGAGAUCGAAAAAACCGACUCAUAUCGGUGAAGUCCUAAUAUAUAAUGUAGACAACCUGCCCGCUUCGCCGAAGUUUUCAGCGAGGCGAGUCAUGUGUUAGGAUAAUACCGAGGGAAGUUGAACUACUUAAAAAAGAAUGCUUAAGAAAUUUGAGGCGAUUAAAGUUAUUGCAGCAUUAAUCAUUAUAGUAUUGAUUAUACUUUUAGUUGUAAAAAUUAAAGUAAAUUCAGUCC
rnacentral:rRNA from 1 species